UCCUUCAGUCGCCGUUCGUUUCCGUCACGGUAGCCGUCCAUUUGCGCGGCUAGAAUGCCACCGCACAGAGCCUAACUCGCUGAGCCCCUCACCCAGCAGCGCCUCUCUUUCUCUCUUUCUCCGCAGGUUCGAGCCUCCGCCGCCAACACCCUCCGGCCCCGUCGCCUCCAACUCACUCCCCGCCACCCGCGAGUUCCCUGAGUCCUCCGCCGUUCUCCAUUGGUGCGAUUGCUUGGCCGCGUUUCUUGCUGGGCGUGGGACUGCUGUUUGUGGAGGUGCCGCGGGGGUUGGGUUUCGGUGGGUUGUGCCUGCGCUUGGGCUUGGUGUCUUCGGCGAACGGUGGCUCCGGCGGUCCUGAUCUGUAGGUGGCGGCGGUCCUCGUUGGGUGCUUCGGUGGGGUGUGGAGUUGCUUCCGUCUGUGCUCUGCGAUUGCCGGCGUGGUUGGCAGGUUGCUAGUGUUCACCACCCGGUUAAAUGGGUUGCUGAGGAAGGCUGAAGUUUUGUCUCCAACAAGCGCUCAUUCCACAUGUUUCAACAGUACCUUCGUGUUUGCUCUUUUUUGUACAUAACUUUUAGGCCGUCAACUAUUUUGUGUUUUCUGCAGAAUAAAAUGUUUAGAUGCAGAAUAUAGCUGGAAGCAUCAUAUAUACAUGGACAGAAAUGGUGGUUUUUUGUCAUGUGAUAUCUGCACAUCUAAAGCGGUCAAGGAUGGUGAUGCCUAUUAAUGCACAAAUAACAGAUGUAAUAACAGGACUGCUAGCCCAAGGUAACAGAAAUGUCUAGGAAAAAUAUUUUGCAGUGCGUUACAUAUACAUGAUAAUGCUUAUUGUAGUACAAGCUGGCAGUGCUGGCAGCUGAUCAGGAUUGUUCUGUGGAGAUUUUUUUUUCCUGGCGAAAUUGCCAAAAACUUGGUUGGAAAGCCAGUAGAUAUUCUGGUGGCGGACUGACCGUCAUUACUUCCGAGAUUUCAGGGUCGACUGGAAGGAAUUACUUUGUUGGUGUGGCUGUCUCCCGUAGAGAUAAUAUAUCGUUUCAGGUUCUUAGGUUUUAUCCGGAAGGUGGAGCCGUUUUUUCAGAUUUUAUAUCACAUAUUGUUCCGGUUGGUGUAACGGCCUAUCCUGGGCCUUCUUCAGAGCUCAAGCGAAUUAGCUGAUGCAAUCUCCUUACUCCUUAGGAGACAGUGAGUUCACAGUUGAGUUGGUGUGAAUAAGUAUGCUGACGUACCAACCAUGUUUGUGAGAUCUCUCCAGUAUUUUUUAACUCAAAGUUUGCCCACUAGCUUACAGCUUGCCCAAGUGUCAAGUCACUGCUGAAUGGUUGGUGCUAUAUACAUGCUGCGGUAACCUGACAUGGUAAGGUAUUCAGCAAGGAGGAGCAAUGCAGAGACUAACGACGUGUGGAGAUGCAACCAACGCUAUGAAUACAGAAUCUUCAUUUUUGUGACAACUUUUCCAGCAGGCCUUUCUACAUCAAUAUUUCCUGAAUCAACUUUGUCAUGUGCAUUUUUUUAUGACAUUAUGACAACUCAAACAACACAGGUAUGGAAAGCAGGAUUAAUUAGAGAUGGCAUGACUGCCCUGUCAUGAUAUUAUCUGAACAAUUUUCAUAAUGGUGUGUGUCAAGUGGUGAAAUUAUUAUGUUUCUGGAUAGUGAGAUAGCUUCGUUCCUAUAUUCUGUUAUUAGUACAUCGUUAACUCAUUGCCCCUAAUUUCAUUGGUUCAAAUUGGUAACACAACCACAAUUUUGCACAGAGUUGCUCUUUUCUUUCCCAAGUUAAAUUGCAAUCAUCAGAGUAGAUCCCCAAGUUCUGUAGUUGUCCUGAUUCUUGUCUCUUUUUUGUAGAGUACGCAGACUCAUUAAACUAUGUACCCUUAUCACUUUUAAGUCAAACAAGAUUGAAUUAGAACUAAUGUUCUUUUCAACGCAAUGCUCUCUCGGACUCGUGUUCUUUUUUCUGCAAUGUUCUUUACUGAGGACUAAAGAUUUGCUUCUACUUAUUAAUGAACUAAUGAUUAUUAUUUUGUCUUCCUCAGUAUUUUCCCUAUAGAUUGUCAAUAAUCGUGCUUCAUGAUAAGUUUCCGCUGAUCAUGCCAAGAUGACAUUCAAGUGCUCAAAUUAAAAAAAAGCUCACCUACAACCAGCAUAAGUUGUCCAAUCGAUGGAGAUUGUAGGAUCAAUUAAGGAUGUUACUAAGUUUCUUAGGUUGCCGGUGUAUACUUAUUUUAGGUUAAGUUCUGUUAGCGAAUUAUGUAUUUCUUUGUGCAAACUAGAAGUUGGAUGUGAGCUCCGUAUACUAUGGGAAUUCCAAUCAAUGAGAUCAAAGUUUGUAUAGUAACAUUUAGCAAAUGGGUAUAAUACAAGUGUCAUAGUCUUUGCAGUAC